rnacentral:rRNA from 1 species
UGCGUAGGUGGUGAGGUAAGUCGGAUGUGAAAUCUCGGAGCUCAACUCCGGAACUGCAUUGGAAACUACCUUGCUCGAGGAAUGGAGGGGGGGACUGGAAUUCUCGGUGUAGCAGUGAAAUGCGUAGACAUCGAGAGGAACACCAGUGGCGAAGGCGAGUCCCUGGACAUCUCCUGACACUGAGGCACGAAAGCUAGGGGAGCAAACA